rnacentral:rRNA from 1 species
AUUGAACGCUGGCGGCAUGCCUUACACAUGCAAGUCGAACGGCAGCACGGGGCAACCUGGUGGCGAGUGGCGAACGGGUGAGUAAUGCAUCGGAACGUGCCAUUGAGUGGGGGAUAACGUAGCGAAAGUUGCGCUAAUACCGCAUAUUCUGUGAGCAGGAAAGCAGGGGACCGCAUGGCCUUGCGCUCUUUGAGCGGCCGAUGUCAGAUUAGCUAGUUGGUGAGGUAACGGCUUACCAAGGCGACGAUCUGUAGCGGGUCUGAGAGGAUGAUCCGCCACACUGGAACUGAGACACGGUCCAGACUCCUACGGGAGGCAGCAGUGGGAAUUUUGGACAAUGGGCGCAAGCCUGAUCCAGCCAUGCCGCGUGAGUGAAGAAGGCCU